GAUGAACGCUGGCGGCGUGCCUAAUACAUGCAAGUCGAGCGAACGGACGAGAAGCUUGCUUUUCUGAUGUUAGCGGCGGACGGGUGAGUAACACGUGGAUAACCUACCUAUAAGACUGGGAUAACUUCGGGAAACCGGAGCUAAUACCGGAUAAUAUUUUGAACCGCAUGGUUCAAAAGUGAAAGACGGUCUUGCUGUCACUUAUAGAUGGAUCCGCGCUGCAUUAGCUAGUUGGUAAGGUAACGGCUUACCAAGGCAACGAUGCAUAGCCGACCUGAGAGGGUGAUCGGCCACACUGGAACUGAGACACGGUCCAGACUCCUACGGGAGGCAGCAGUAGGGAAUCUUCCGCAAUGGGCGAAAGCCUGACGGAGCAACGCCGCGUGAGUGAUGAAGGUCUUCGGAUCGUAAAACUCUGUUAUUAGGGAAGAACAUAUGUGUAAGUAACUGUGCACAUCUUGACGGUACCUAAGCAGAAAGCCACGGUUAACUACGUG
rnacentral:rRNA from 1 species